rnacentral:rRNA from 1 species
GAAACUUGGAUUAAUACCUGAUGUGGUCCUUCGGGAUCAAAGGCUUGCCGCCUUGGGAGCGGGGAACGUCCUAUCAGGUUGUUGGUGAGGUAAAGGCUCACCAAGCCGGAGACGGGUAGCGGGUGUGAGAGCAUGACCCGCCGCAUCGGGACUGAGACACUGCCCGGACUCCUACGGGAGGCUGCAGUAACGAAUCUUCCGCAAUGCGCGAAAGCGUGACGGAGCAAUGCCGCGUGCAGGAUGAACCCCUUCGGGGUGUAAACUGCUGUCAGGGUUCAGCAACACAAUGAGCAGACCCAAAGGAAGGGCCGGCUAAGUUCGUGCCAGCAGCCGCGGUAACACGAACGGCCCGAGCGUUGCGCGGAAUCACUGGGCUUAAAGCGUACGUAGGCGGGCGCGCAGGCGUCUUGUGAAAGCCCUCGGCUCAACCGAGGAAUUGCUCGACGAACCGCGUGUCUUGAGGCAGGUAGGGGCUGUCGGAACGAUAGGUUGGAGUGGUGAAAUGCGUUGAUAUCUAUCGGAACGCCAAAGGAGAAAUCAGACAGCUGGGCCUGUCCUGACGCUGA